AGCCCCCUAUAUCCGUGCUGAGAUUUCGUCAGCGAUCAACCCGUUGGGGGUGAUGCAACUUCCCAAAUAAGUGAAGCG
rnacentral:pre_miRNA from 1 species